rnacentral:miRNA from 1 species
UAUAGAGAGAUAAGGAUGUGAUAUCUAUCAGGAUGUGAUAGAGAUGUGAUAUAGAGAGAUAAGGAUGUGAUAUCUAUCAGGAUGUGAUAGAUAUCACAUCCUUAUCUCUCUAUAUCACAUCUCUAUCACAUCCUGAUAGAUAUCACAUCCUUAUCUCUCUAUA